rnacentral:rRNA from 1 species
AGCCAUUAGCCAAACAAGUAUUAAAGGUAAUGCCUGCCCAGUGAGGAUAACCCUUAAACGGCCGCGAUAACCCGUGCGAAGGUAGCGCAAUCACUUGUCUCCUAAAUAGAGACCCGUAUGAAUGGCCACAUGAGAAAGGAACUGUCUCUUGAAAACAGCCAGUGAAACUGAUCUCCCUGUACAAAAGCAGGGAUUACUAAACAAGACAAAAAGACCCUGUGAAACUUUAAAUUACAUAUCAACCACAUGAUACUAACUUUUAGUUGGGGCAACUAUAGAGAAACAAAACCUCUACAAAACCAAUAGACCAACCAGUCAAUGGAACAAACAAUUAGACCCAGUACUACUGACCAACGAACCAAGCUACUCCAGGGAUAACAGCGCCACAUUCUUGAAGAGUCCAUAUUAACAAGAAUAUCUACGACCUCGAUGUUGGAUCAGGAUAUCCUAACGGUGCAAAAGCUGUUAAGGGUUCGUUUGUUCAACGAUUAAUAUCCU